GGUUAAGCGACUAAGCGUACACGGUGGAUGCCCUGGCAGUCAGAGGCGAUGAAGGACGUGCUAAUCUGCGAAAAGCGACGGCGAGGUGAUAUGAACCUUUGACCCGUCGAUGUCCGAAUGGGGAAACCCAGUGCAAUUCGUUGCACUAUCGUUAACUGAAUACAUAGGUUAACGAGGCGAACCGGGGGAACUGAAACAUCUAAGUACCCCGAGGAAAAGAAAUCAACCGAGAUUCCCCCAGUAGCGGCGAGCGAACGGGGAGCAGCCCGGAGUCUGAAUCAGCUUGUGUGUUAGUGGAAGCGUCUGGAAAGUCGCACGGUACAGGGUGACAGUCCCGUACACGAAAAUGCACAGGUUGUGAACUCGAAGAGUAGGGCGGGACACGUGGUAUCCUGUCUGAAUAUGGGGGGACCAUCCUCCAAGGCUAAAUACUCCUGACUGACCGAUAGUGAACCAGUACCGUGAGGGAAAGGCGAAAAGAACCCCGGCGAGGGGAGUGAAAAAGAACCUGAAACCGUGUACGUACAAGCAGUGGGAGCACCUUCGUGGUGUGACUGCGUACCUUUUGUAUAAUGGGUCAGCGACUUAUAUUCUGUAGCAAGGUUAACCGUAUAGGGGAGCCGCAGGGAAACCGAGUCUUAACUGGGCGUUAAGUUGCAGGGUAUAGACCCGAAACCCGGUGAUCUAGCCAUGGGCAGGUUGAAGGUUGGGUAACACUAACUGGAGGACCGAACCGACUAAUGUUGAAAAAUUAGCGGAUGACCUGUGGCUGGGGGUGAAAGGCCAAUCAAACCGGGAGAUAGCUGGUUCUCCCCGAAAGCUAUUUAGGUAGCGCCUCGUGAACUCAUCUUCGGGGGUAGAGCACUGUUUCGGCUAGGGGGCCAUCCCGGCUUACCAACCCGAUGCAAACUACGAAUACCGAAGAAUGUUAUCACGGGAGACACACGGCGGGUGCUAACGUCCGUCGUGAAGAGGGAAACAACCCAGACCGCCAGCUAAGGUCCCAAAGUCAUGGUUAAGUGGGAAACGAUGUGGGAAGGCACAGACAGCCAGGAUGUUGGCUUAGAAGCAGCCAUCAUUUAAAGAAAGCGUAAUAGCUCACUGGUCGAGUCGGCCUGCGCGGAAGAUGUAACGGGGCUAAACCAUGCACCGAAGCUGCGGCAGCGACGCUUAUGCGUUGUUGGGUAGGGGAGCGUUCUGUAAGCCGUUGAAGGUGUGCUGUGAGGCAUGCUGGAGGUAUCAGAAGUGCGAAUGCUGACAUAAGUAACGAUAAAGCGGGUGAAAAGCCCGCUCGCCGGAAGACCAAGGGUUCCUGUCCAACGUUAAUCGGGGCAGGGUGAGUCGACCCCUAAGGCGAGGCCGAAAGGCGUAGUCGAUGGGAAACAGGUUAAUAUUCCUGUACUUGGUGUUACUGCGAAGGGGGGACGGAGAAGGCUAUGUCAGCCGGGCGACGGUUGUCCCGGUUUAAGCGUGUAGGUGUGUGUUCCAGGCAAAUCCGGUUCACUUUAACACUGAGGCGUGAUGACGAGGCACUACGGUGCUGAAGUGAUAAAUGCCCUGCUUCCAGGAAAAGCCUCUAAGCAUCAGGUAACACGAAAUCGUACCCCAAACCGACACAGGUGGUCAGGUAGAGAAUACCAAGGCGCUUGAGAGAACUCGGGUGAAGGAACUAGGCAAAAUGGUGCCGUAACUUCGGGAGAAGGCACGCUGAUAUGUAGGUGAAGUCCCUGCGGACGGAGCUGAAAUCAGUCGAAGAUACCAGCUGGCUGCAACUGUUUAUUAAAAACACAGCACUGUGCAAACACGAAAGUGGACGUAUACGGUGUGACGCCUGCCCGGUGCCGGAAGGUUAAUUGAUGGGGUUAGCGGCAACGCGAAGCUCUUGAUCGAAGCCCCGGUAAACGGCGGCCGUAACUAUAACGGUCCUAAGGUAGCGAAAUUCCUUGUCGGGUAAGUUCCGACCUGCACGAAUGGCGUAAUGAUGGCCAGGCUGUCUCCACCCGAGACUCAGUGAAAUUGAACUCGCUGUGAAGAUGCAGUGUACCCGCGGCAAGACGGAAAGACCCCGUGAACCUUUACUAUAGCUUGACACUGAACACUGGUCCUUGAUGUGUAGGAUAGGUGGGAGGCUUUGAAGCGUGGACGCCAGUCUGCGUGGAGCCGUCCUUGAAAUACCACCCUUUAAUGGCUGGUGUUCUAACGUGGACCCGUGAUCCGGGUUGCGGACAGUGUCUGGUGGGUAGUUUGACUGGGGCGGUCUCCUCCCAAAGAGUAACGGAGGAGCACGAAGGUUAGCUAAUCCUGGUCGGACAUCAGGAGGUUAGUGCAAUGGCAUAAGCUAGCUUGACUGCGAGAGUGACGGCUCGAGCAGGUGCGAAAGCAGGUCAUAGUGAUCCGGUGGUUCUGAAUGGAAGGGCCAUCGCUCAACGGAUAAAAGGUACUCCGGGGAUAACAGGCUGAUACCGCCCAAGAGUUCAUAUCGACGGCGGUGUUUGGCACCUCGAUGUCGGCUCAUCACAUCCUGGGGCUGAAGUAGGUCCCAAGGGUAUGGCUGUUCGCCAUUUAAAGUGGUACGCGAGCUGGGUUUAGAACGUCGUGAGACAGUUCGGUCCCUAUCUGCCGUGGGCGCUGGAGAAUUGAGGGGGGCUGCUCCUAGUACGAGAGGACCGGAGUGGACGCAUCACUGGUGUUCGGGUUGUCAUGCCAAUGGCACUGCCCGGUAGCUAAAUGCGGAAGAGAUAAGUGCUGAAAGCAUCUAAGCACGAAACUUGCCCCGAGAUGAGUUCUCCCUGAGACUAUAAGUCUCCUGAAGGAACGUUGAAGACGACGACGUUGAUAGGCCGGGUGUGUAAGCGCAGCGAUGCGUUGAGCUAACCGGUACUAAUGAACCGUGAGGCUUAACCUU
rnacentral:rRNA from 1 species